rnacentral:rRNA from 1 species
UACGGAGGAUGGGAGCGUUAUCCGGAUUUAUUGGGUUUAAAGGGUGCGUAGGCGGCCUUGUAAGUCAGCGGUGAAAUUUUGCAGCUUAACUGUAAAAGUGCCGUUGAUACUGUGAGGCUAGGAUUUGGUUGCUGUGGGUGGAAUGUGUGGUGUAGCGGUGAAAUGCUUAGAGAUCACACAGAAUAUCGAUUGCGAAGGCAGCUCACAAAGCCAAGAUUGACGCUGAGGCACGAAAGUGUGGGGAUCAAACAGGAUUA